rnacentral:rRNA from 1 species
UACGAAGGGGGCUAGCGUUGCUCGGAAUCACUGGGCUUAAAGAGUCCGUAGGCGGCUUGUUAGAUGAGGUGUGAAAUCCCUCGGCCCAACCGAGGAAUUGCGCUUCAAACCGGCAAGCUAGAGGAGGAUAGAGGUGGGCGGAACUGAUGGUGGAGCGGUGAAAUGCGUAGAUAUCGGGAGGAACACCGGUGGCGAAGGCGGGUCUCUGGGCAGUAACUGACGCUGAGGAGCGAAAGCGUGGGGAGCGAACAGG